UGGGGAAUAUUGCACAAUGGAGGGAACUCUGAUGCAGCGACGCCGCGUGAGUGAUGAAGGAAUUCGUUUCGUAAAACUCUGUUCUAUGGGAAGAAAAGGACUGUACCAUAGGAGAAAGCUCCGGCUAAAUACGUGCCAGCAGCCGCGGUAAUACGUAUGGAGCGAGCGUUGUCCGGAAUUAUUGGGCGUAAAGGGUGCGCAGGCGGCUUUACAAGUUGGAUGUGAAAUAUUGUGGCUCAACCACAAACGUGCAUCCAAAACUGCAAAGCUUGAGUUAAGGAGAGGUAAGUGGAAUUCCUGGUGUAGCGGUGGAAUGCGUAGAUAUCAGGAGGAAUACCGGUGUCGAAGGCGACUUACUGGACUUAAACUGACGCUCAGGCACGAAAGCGUGGGGAGCAAACAGG
rnacentral:rRNA from 1 species